AAACAGACGUUGCGGUCACAAGGGGACAGCGUGGAGGUUUCCGAAAAGCCGCAGGGUCAGACGUCACUUAACGGGAUUCGCGCGGUCGAGUAUCUAUUAUUAUUAUUAUUAUUAUUAUUAUUAUUAUUAUUAUAACGAUAUGACGAUCGUUUUGACGUCUUAUUAAAACCCAAAGACAAUACAAUUAUUGUAGGUACAGGUAUUUACCGGAGGGUAUACCGCGAGGUAAAAGACAGUAAUUAAUUUACGGCAAAUCCGCGGGGGGCCUUUUCGAUUUUCUCCCGAGUAAAGCGAAACGUUGGAAACGUAAUUUGUUUUAAUAUAUAUAUAUAUGAACAUAGAAUACUAAAAUAUCCGAGCUCAGGGUCUUCCCGGGAGAUGCGCAGACGUUUCUUAACGGUGACAAU